CCAGCAUUCAGUGGGCACUUCUAAUGAGACUGCCGGGUGACAAACCGGAGGAAGGUGGGGAUGACGUCAAAUCAUCAUGCCCCUUAUGCCUUGGGCUACACACGUGCUCCAAUGGAUGGUACAACGAGCAGCAAGACCGCGAGGUCAAGCGAAUCUCUUAAAGCCAUUCUCAGUUCGGAUUGCAGGCUGCAACUCGCCUGCAUGAAGCCGGAAUCGCUAGUAAUCGCGGAUCAGCACGCCGCGGUGAAUACGUUCCCGGGUCUUGUACACACCGCCCGUCACACCACGAGAGUUUGUAACACCCGAAGUCGGUGAGGUAACCUUUUUGGAGCCAGCCGCCUAAGGUGGGACAGAUGAUUGGGGUGAAGUCGUAACAAGGUAACC
rnacentral:rRNA from 1 species